rnacentral:rRNA from 1 species
AGUCUGACGGAGCACGCCGCGUGAGUGAUGAAGGUUUUCGGAUCGUAAAGCUCUGUUGUUAGGGAAGAACAAGUGCGAGAGUAACUGCUCGCACCUUGACGGUACCUAACCAGAAAGCCACGGCUAACUACGUGCCAGCAGCCGCGGUAAUACGUAGGUGGCAAGCGUUGUCCGGAAUUAUUGGGCGUAAAGGGCUCGCAGGCGGUUUCUUAAGUCUGAUGUGAAAGCCCCCGGCUCAACCGGGGAGGGUCAUUGGAAACUGGGAAACUUGAGUGCAGAAGAGGAGAGUGGAAUUCCACGUGUAGCGGUGAAAUGCGUAGAGAUGUGGAGGAACACCAGUGGCGAAGGCGACUCUCUGGUCUGUAACUGACGCUGAGGAGCGAAAGCGUGGGGAGCGAACAGGAUUAGAUACCCUGGUAGUCCACGCCGUAAACGAUGAGUGCUAAGUGUUAGGGGGUUUCCGCCCCUUAGUGCUGCAGCUAACGCAUUAAGCACUCCGCCUGGGGAGUACGGUCGCAAGACUGAAACUCAAAGGAAUUGACGGGGGCCCGCACAAGCGGUGGAGCAUGUGGUUUAAUUCGAAGCAACGCGAAGAACCUUACCAGGUCUUGACAUCCUCUGACAACCCUAGAGAUAGGGCUUUCCCUUCGGGGACAGAGUGACAGGUGGUGCAUGGUUGUCGUCAGCUCGUGUCGUGAGAUGUUGGGUUAAGUCCCGCAACGAGCGCAACCCUUGAUCUUAGUUGCCAGCAUUCAGUUGGGCACUCUAAGGUGACUGCCGGUGACAAACCGGAGGAAGGUGGGGAUGACGUCAAAUCAUCAUGCCCCUUAUGACCUGGG